GACAGAGGCCACAAGCGUUAGGCGGAAUCACUGGGCUUAAAGCGUGUGUAGGCGGACCGUUAAGUGCUUUGUGAAAUCCCUCGGCUCAACCGGGGAAAGGCUUGGCAUACUGGCGGUCUUGAGCUGCCUAGGGGUCGCUGGAACAGACGGUGGAGCGGUGAAAUGCGUAGAUAUCGUCUGGAACGCCAAAGGUGAAGACAGGCGACUGGGGGCAUGCUGACGCUGAGACACGAAAGCCAGGGGAGCAAACGGG
rnacentral:rRNA from 1 species